GAAGAACAAGAGUGGUUACAUCAUCCGGUCAUGUGACAUUUGUUGUUUAUACAUUUUUCGCCCACACCAGAUGCCUAGACCCUGGACAGAUAACAGAUGGUAUGGCCUCUGAGGACCCCCAAGACCAACUGGAUGAGCCUAUUAAAAAGGCAGAACACCUUGCUGAGGAGCUCAACCAAGAGAAGGACCCACAAGCCCAACUGGACGAGGCCAUUAACGAGGCAAAAAGGCUGGCUGAGGAGCUCAACCCAGAGCGGGAAAAUAAGAAGAAAAGACCAACAAGCCUCCAGGGAUUAGGUUCAGAUGGAGACAAAGGGAUGAGAGAGGACAGAUUGUUCCUCAAAACAGGAAGGCAACUACAUUCACUUCUCUUGCUCCAAGGGCCAGUAUGUCAAGAGCCAGACUAGUGCAACAUUUUGUGCCAGUCACUGAGGAGGAAGAAUCAGAGACAAGGACCAGUGGAUUGGAAUCCACUCCAGUUUUAAACAUUGAAGAAAUAGCAAUACUUCGUCAAGAAAUUAACAUCCUCCUAGCUGAUUUAGAAGACCCUGAGUGUGCAAAUCCUGCUGUGCCUGGUGCAUGACACAGUUGGAGUGUGAGGAAGGAACUCACAGGAUAGGUGGAGGGAGUCCAGACCUGAGAUUUUAUAUUCUCUGCUGGCUGCAGAGCAUGCUUCUUAAAAGAUCUGUCAGUCAUGCAAUGUGAAAAGGGCUAUUCUGCGAUGUAGAGACUGUCUGCCGAAACAGCUUUACUGCGAAGCCUCUAAUCAUGCAAAGUUCCCCCUGCACAACAGACAGUCCAUGAUCGAGGGAUUAUACACGCCCCUUCCUCCAACUACAGCCAUAUCGCUCCACAGUGAUGGCAAAUAUGCACUUCAUGAACAGGGUCGUUACAAUGUCACUGCCUGUGCUGACCUGCACAACCUGUCUUAGCACCUGGACAGCAAACUUGGCAGAUCUGAUAAAGAAUGGGCGCUGUCCUGCCACUGUCAACUGUGACACCAUAUACCAGGUAGAUCUGUUCAGCUCUUUUGAGGAGCUGAAAGUGUCAGCCCCAGGAAUGUCCCGUCUGGCGUUUAUGCGGAUUUUGGAGCAGCGAACUGACUUCUUUGGCAGGAACGGAAUGACCUGUGGGGACACUUUUCAAAAAAGCUUCUUUGAGUGGAUGUACUGCCGCUCUGAAAUUGAUCAGGUCUGUGAUAUACAGUACUUUGACUGCCCAGCCUGUUCCCCCGGCAUGCUUGCAGUGUCAGUGGACUGGAACAAGAAGCUGUAGCGAUUCAAAAAAGGGUAUGUAAAACUAUUCAUAAUUUAUCAAAUAACACCGUACUCUUAUAUCAUUUAAACAAUCCAAACAAGGUUUGCCUAAUCUUUGUCCAGUGUGAACAUUUUCAAAUGCAGUUGAGUAAAUUUUUUGCUUAAAUGUUUUGAGUUUGUAAAUGAAAUGAAUUAUCAACAUUGUCAAAUGUCCCACAAUCAGUUACUGAGGUUGAUUGCUGUUUCAUAUGUCAUAUAUUUAAUGUAUUUCACGUAUCCUUUUAAGGACUGAUGAGAAAGGAUUCUUUGGCGUAUUUAUCUGCAAGGAUGAGGAUGUGUCUGACUUUGAACUAUGUCUAUACAAAGACUAAACAUGUACGAUUCCUGUGUAUCCUCUAAUCUGUGAAAUAGGACUGGCCUCGGGCCAUCUGACUCAAAGGCAGACUCAUUAUACACUAUUCCAAUAAAACAUAUAAUUUUGGAGAGAUGAUAAUCCUCUCUCCAAGUCCAGGGCUGUUACACCACUCCCUUUGUUCAGAAAUGCAACACAUUUUACAAGUGCUUGUUUUUUACAGUCAAUCUCCAACUCCUGAUCUCCAUUGUAGCGAACACAGGGGGUAGGUCAGCGCCCUCAGCUAGAUUUUAAAAACCUAACCAUUGUCCUGUUAACACCCCCCCCAAAAAAAAAAUGAUAUUUAUACUCUUCUACUUCCUUGUCGAGGGUUAUGGAAAAGGGCUAUGUUGAGCAUCCCAGUGGACAGCAGCUAAAGAGUCGUCAAGAUUAACAACAAAAUUGAUGAAGAGGGACUCGGAAGUUGCCGUCUGCCGCCACGGAAUACUUCUAAGGAGCAUCAACAUGAUGCGUGGAGAGAUAUUUGCUGUUCUUGCAGAAGGAAUUGUCUGGCAGCAGGAACAUACAAUUCAUGUGUAUGGAUGUGAUCUGCAAAUUUUGGCCAUCCUGACCACAGUUGCCCUUCAUUGUCCAGAGCUCGCCACUCUUCUAGACAUGAAACCACUUCUUUCCGUCAAGCAUGCAAAGGCACAUUGUUUGAACAGUUUAAUAAAGAAAAACUUAACUCGCAUUUCAAAGAGAUUUUCCAGCUUCAGUCCUUUACAAGGCUUUCCAUUUAGAUGUUUGUUAUUCACAUAAUUGCAAUAGGAAGUCAAUAAUGUAAAUUAAGAUGAAGUAGCGAGGACGGAAUCAGGAAGGAGCUUGCACAACUCUGGGGGAGGUAGUGGAACAAGGGAACAGCUUCAAUCUGUUCCAAGCAAAUGUCCAAAGGAGGUAAACAAUUUGUUUAAGGUUGUUCUAUUCAGCUAUUCUAUUUGGCUUUUCUAGCAAGAACAGACAUGCUAACCAUCCAGGCCGUGGGGUGGAACAGAAGGAAGAAAAACAACCUGCACAGAGUAUUGUCCAGAAAAUACUUUAAGACAACAGCAAAAAUCCAGGAGGAGACCCAGACUCUCAAACUUUAAGAGUGAUUUGGGUGUAGGCAAUGAGACUCUGUACAACUGGACAAUGGAAGUUCAGCAAUGGGCUAAUACAGCAAGAACAGACAUGCUAACCAUCCAGGCCGUGGGGUGGAACAGAAGGAAGAAAAACAACCUGCACAGAGUAUUGUCCAGAAAAUACUUUAAGACAACAGCAAAAAUCCAGGAGGAGACCCAGACUCUCAAACUUUAAGAGUGAUUUGGGUGUAGGCAAUGAGACUCUGUACAACUGGACAAUGGAAGUUCAGCAAUGGGCUAAUACAGGUAAAUGAAUACAACAACAAAAAACUACCUAAAUGUAACUCUCCUGGGCUGUCACCUUGACGUAGUGGAGAGGCCUGCGUACUCCAAUGACCCUGAGAGCUAACCCUUAGAGGGUGUAUUCCACCGGCAGGUGCAAUCAAGCCGGACAGGUGGAAGGGUAGGAGGCAGACAAAACAUUCCCUGGUCCUCCAGGUUGGGGCUCACUCACCACCCACAUAACAAAUCAUUUGUUACCGAAACCUUCACAGGCCCUAUGUUCCUCCAAGAAGUGAGUGCAACUACUCACCAUUGGAGAUACGUUGUUCAUUUAUAGAUUUAUUGUUUCAGAGGAAACAAAUGAGAACAUGGAUGGUCCUCAGGUACUACAGAAUUGAAGUUCUGUUUCUUAGCAUCAAACAAAGGAAACAGAACAUCUACCGUCAGACAGGUAGAUGCAAGAAAAGACACCUGCACAGAAAGCUAUUGGAAGAAAAAGCCAAAUUGACAGCUGCCAUAGGAGUACAACACCCGUGUACUAGAUUCACCAAUACCAUCUGCAGAUGAGAUCCUUUCCGCAGACCUUCAUGCAUGGCCUUGGGAGCUGCAUGGACAAAACAAUAGCCUUUGACCGGGUGAUGCUCCUGAGACGGCUGAAAGAGAAGAGGUUAACUAUCCUAAAGGAAGUCUAGCAGCACUGGGAAAGCCUAAAGAGGGAAUCGGAGAAUGUGCAAGACCUUGCUUCAGACGUGACAGUUGACCUAAGCAGGAAAAGAUUGUUGGUGUUCGGCUGGCAAUUGAAUCAGUCGGAAGCUGGGAGCAGAGGUCUCUUCUCCAUGCUUCAGAGGAGAGUCAGCAGCCUCAGAAGACACCAGGACUGUGUCAAACUGAUAUACAGCAAAGCUAUGGGCCAAGACACCUCCCUCCUAGAAAAUAACUUCAUAGAUGACCUCCUGGUAGAGGACCUAGAUGACAUCUAUGACAGCAUCCUCUGAUGACGAGUAAUCUAUGACAGACUGAAGGUGUUCGUUUGGGUGGUUGCAGUUUGCACUGGGUGAAAAGUGAUUCCAUUUGUUUUGCAUAUGUGCUUUAUCUGCCUUCCUAAGGAAAAAUAGGGGUGUACAAAGGUUCAUGGCAGAAAACAAGUGUAUGUAUAGAAAUGCUUAUAUAAACUGUUACAUCGAUGUUGACGCUUCUAGAAGUCCAAAAAUAGACACUCAACAGUCUAUAUGUGGCCUUUCAACCCCUAUACCCAUGACCCACAUGGCCUUAUAACCACACCUCUAUUGCCAUGGUCCUCGGCACAUCAUAUUCCUGAUAAGCAACAAUGAUGAAAAUUAAUUCUCAUUGCAUAUUCAAAAAAAGCAGUUGUGGAAUGAUUUGGCAUUCACUUUCACUAAAUAUUUUCCACUGACAACUAGCCUAGAGACCAAGCAGAUAGACGUUCUGCCUCUAUGCGCUAAACAUGCUGCAGAGGUAGGCCUAUAUCCAACAUAAAAAAUGCAGGUAAAGUAAUAUAUUUAAUAGCAUUAUAUAUACUGUAUAUAUAAUCCAUAUAUAUGUAAGCUGUUGAUAUACACGCAGUCCUAUGUAUUAUAAUAUAUAGCCUAGCUGUGCCUAGCCUAUAGGCCUAUAAUAAACAUGGAUAUGAAUUGUCAAGGUCAGUCGGCCAAAAUGCUACAUUCUCAUCACUUUUGAUGAUUAUUUUCUCAUUACUGAGACAUUCACUAAGUACUAAAGUUGAUCAGCCCAAUCCACUGCUCAUAACUAAUAUAUCAACAUUGUACUAUGUGCCUAGGCCUCUGGUCAUAAGUAGUGCACUUUCAAGGGAAUAGGGUGGCAUUUGGAAAUAAAUAAUCCAAUAUCUUUA